AUUUAAAUACAUUAAUGAGGUCUCCACUCGGUCUUCUCUUUUCCAGGCUAAACAGGCCCAGUCCUCUCAGUCUGUCCUUGUACGACAGGUGCUCCAGUCCUCUAAUCUAUACAGAGUCAGAUUUCCAGAACUAACUCCAAUGCAUGCCUUAAACUACUGGAGGUGCUGAACAAAUAUUUGGAUGUAAAUAAUACCCUACUCAAGGAAUUGUUGGGUUCUGGAUAGUCUCUUGAGACCAGAGACUAUGGGAUCUUUUACUGAAGGACUUCUUUAAACCUCUGGAUUUGUUUGAAUGUGAGUUAAAUCUGAUCUUUGCACCUUAAGAUCCCUUGAUUAGAAGGGAUGGUAUAUAAUUGCUUUCUGUUCAAAGUCUUGGUUUCAUACAGCUAAAACAGAAGGGUAUCCAGGAUAUCUCCGUACCACAGAUUUCCUUCUCUCCUGUUGCCAGGGAAUUAGCAUCAUAGUUACACUAGAGGGGACUCAGUUGCAUAAACAAAUACAGUGUCAUUGUAGAUGUCAUAGGGCAUCCCACCCCCUUUCCAACUGCCAGAAUACUGAAUGUCUAGCAGGGUACAUCCUUCUCUGUCUCACCAAGCUGCAAAAUAGUAGAUGGAUACCACUGAUCUGAGAAGCUUUUGAAAAAGCAACCAGGCUGGAGGGAGUAAAGACAACAAGAGAAAUGCUGGAAAAAGAAGUCCUCAAGCUGGACCCACUAUUUUCUCUCCAUGACUGACUCUUGUGUGCAUUUUCUGAAGAGCUCUUCAGGCCCCUGUCCUGCAGUGUGGACAGGCGCCCACGGCACUGCCUGCAGUAAUGGACCAGCGGCUCCCACGAACAGGCACGGACCAACCCCUGCAGUCUGGAUUGGUGAUGUGCUCUGGCCACCACUUGUGACAACACCCUGGAGAAGAGAUCUAGUGAGAGGGAGAGCUCAGCUCCUGAGGGAGAAAUUGCUGAUCCUUGAGAGGCAGCUAGAGCAGCAAGUUUUUUUUUCUGCUGAUAAACCACUGAUGGAGAAGCCCUCUCUUCUCCGCUUCCUGUCUCAACUGCUGUCAUUUCAUUUACAAAAGCUUGUCCCUGUCCCUAUCAGCAUUUAUUUGAGUACAUCUCUGCUGCGCCUGAGUGAUUUAUCUAAACAUCGGCAGCUACUGUAAGUGAUGGAACAGCGAAGCAGCGGCAGAGGAGGGAGUGGAGAGGUUGAAAUGUGACUUCCCUCUUGUGAAAUCAAGCACAGGUGACUAUUCCCAGCAACUCCAGUGUAUUUACAUCAGUCACAGGCAGAGAGAAAAAAAGAGGGCAUUUCAGAGCCUGCUCAGACAUUUGAGACCAUUUAAUUAACCAAAUUAAAAUAUUUCCC
rnacentral:lncRNA from 1 species